rnacentral:rRNA from 1 species
AACGAACGCUGGCGGCAUGCCUAACACAUGCAAGUCGAACGAGAUCUUCGGAUCUAGUGGCGCACGGGUGCGUAACGCGUGGGAAUCUGCCCCUUGCUUCGGAAUAACAGUGAGAAAUUACUGCUAAUACCGGAUGAUGUCUCCGGACCAAAGAUUUAUCGGCAAGGGAUGAGCCCGCGUAGGAUUAGGUAGUUGGUGGGGUAAUGGCCUACCAAGCCGACGAUCCUUAGCUGGUCUGAGAGGAUGAUCAGCCACACUGGGACUGAGACACGGCCCAGACUCCUACGGGAGGCAGCAGUGGGGAAUAUUGGAUAAUGGGCGAAAGCCUGAUCCAGCAAUGCCGCGUGAGUGAUGAAGGCCUUAGGGUUGUAAAGCUCUUUUACCAGGGAUGAUAAUGACAGUACCUGGAGAAUAAGCUCCGGCUAACUCCGUG